ensembl:snoRNA LOC120094496 small nucleolar RNA SNORA17
GCCUCCCCUAAAGACUUUGCAGGUCUUUUUUGCUCUGUCACAUAUGUGUCAGUAGGUGGCAGAGAAGAGAGAAGCUAUGUCUGUGCUCAGUGUUCUGACCUGUGAGCAUCUGAAUGAUUAGUAGCCUAACAAU